rnacentral:rRNA from 1 species
AAACUUGAGAGUUUGAUCAUGGCUCAGAACGUACGCUGGCGGCACGCCUAACACAUGCAAGUCGAACGAAGUAGCAAUACUUAGUGGCAGACGGGUGAGUAACAUGUAGGUAUCUGCCCUUUGGCCUGGAAUAACACGAGGAAACUUGUGCUAAUACCGGAUAAGUCUUUACGGAGAAAGCUUUAUGCACCAUUGGAUGAGCCUGCACUUGAUUAGUUUGUUGGUGGGGUAAUGGCCUACCAAGACUUUGAUCAAUAGCUGAUUUGAGAGGAUGAUCAGCCACAUUGGGACUGAGACACGGCCCAAACUCCUACGGGAGGCAGCAGUGGGGAAUCUUGCACAAUGGAGGAAACUCUGAUGCAGCGAUGCCGCGUGAGUGAAGAAGGCCCUUGGGUUGUAAAGCUCUUUCGUCGGGGAAGAAAAUGACUGUACCCGAAUAAGAAGGUCCGGCUAACUUCGUGCCAGCAGCCGCGGUAAUACGAAGGGACCUAGCGUAGUUCGGAAUUACUGGGCUUAAAGAGUUCGUAGGUGGUUGAAAAAGUUGGUGGUGAAAUCCCAGAGCUUAACUCUGGAACUGCCAUCAAAACUUUUCAGCUAGAGUUUGAUAGAGGAAAGCAGAAUUUCUAGUGUAGAGGUGAAAUUCGUAGAUAUUAGAAAGAAUACCAAUUGCGAAGGCAGCUUUCUGGAUCAUUACUGACACUGAGGAACGAAAGCAUGGGUAGCGAAGAGGAUUAGAUACCCUCGUAGUCCAUGCCGUAAACGAUGUGUGUUAGACGUUGGAAAUUUAUUUUCAGUGUCGCAGCGAAAGCGAUAAACACACCGCCUGGGGAGUACGACCGCAAGGUUAAAACUCAAAUGAAUUGACGGGGACCCGCACAAGUAGUGGAGCAUGUGGUUUAAUUCGAAGAUACGCGCAGAACCUUACCAACACUUGACAUGUUCGUCGCGACUUUGAGAGAUCAGAGUUUUCGGUUCGGCCGGACGAAACACAGGUGCUGCAUGGCUGUCGUCAGCUCGUGUCGUGAGAUGUUGGGUUAAGUCCCGCAACGAGCGCAACCCUCACUUUUAGUUGCCAUCAUUAAGUUGGGCACUCUGAAAGAACUGCCAGUGAUAAGCUGGAGGAAGGUGGGGAUGACGUCAAGUCCUCAUGGCCCUUACGUGUUGGGCUACACACGUGCUACAAUGAUAUCUACAACAGGAAGCAAAACGGCGACGUUAAGCAAAUCCUUAAAAGAUAUCUCAGUUCGGAUUGCACUCUGCAACUCGAGUGCAUGAAGCUGGAAUUACUAGUAAUCGUGGAUCAGCGUGCCACGGUGAAUGCGUUCCCGGGUCUUGUACACACCGCCCGUCACACCAUGGGAGUUGGUUCUACCUUAAGGCAAGGUUUUAAACCCUUGACCACGGUAUAGUCAGCGACUGGGGUGAAGUCGUAACAAGGUAGCCGUAGGGGAACCUGCGGCUGGAUUACCUCCUUU